rnacentral:pre_miRNA from 1 species
CAAAUACUCCCUCCGUCCAGAAAUACUUGUCAUCAAAAUGGAUAAAAGGAAAUGUAUCUAGACAUAUUUUAGUUUUAGAUACAUCUCUUUUUAUCCAUUUUGAAGACAAGUAUUUUCGGACGGAGGGAGUAUUUA